rnacentral:tRNA from 1 species
GCUUAUUUGGUGAAAUGGUAGACACGAUAGACUUAAAAUCUUUUUUCUAAUUAGAAGUGUUGGUUCAAGUCCAAUAAUAAGCA